rnacentral:rRNA from 1 species
AACAGGAUUAGAUACCCUGGUAGUCCACGCCCUAAACGAUGUCUACUAGUUGUCGGGUCUUAAUUGACUUGGUAACGCAGCUAACGCGUGAAGUAGACCGCCUGGGGAGUACGGUCGCAAGAUUAAAACUCAAAGGAAUUGACGGGGACCCGCACAAGCGGUGGAUGAUGUGGAUUAAUUCGAUGCAACGCGAAAAACCUUACCUACCCUUGACAUGUACAGAAUCCCGAAGAGAUUUGGGAGUGUUCGAAAGAAAGCUGUAACACAGGUGCUGCAUGGCUGUCGUCAGCUCGUGUCGUGAGAUGUUGGGUUAAGUCCCGCAACGAGCGCAACCCUUGUCAUUAGUUGCUACGAAAGGGCACUCUAAUGAGACUGCCGGUGACAAACCGGAGGAAGGUGGGGAUGACGUCAAGUCCUCAUGGCCCUUAUGGGUAGGGCUUCACACGUCAUACAAUGGUACAUACAGAGGGCCGCCAACCCGCGAGGGGGAGCUAAUCCCAGAAAGUGUAUCGUAGUCCGGAUUGUAGUCUGCAACUCGACUACAUGAAGUUGGAAUCGCUAGUAAUCGCGGAUCAGCAUGUCGCGGUGAAUACGUUCCCGGGUCUUGUACACACCGCCCGUCACACCAUGGGAGCGGGUUUUACCAGAAGUAGGUAGCCUAACCGUAAGGAGGGCGCUUACCACGGUAGGAUUCGUGACUGGGGUGAAGUCGUAACAAGGUAACC